rnacentral:rRNA from 1 species
GAUGAACGCUGGCGGCGUGCCUAGUACAUGCAAGUCGAGCGAACCACUUCGGUGGUGAGCGGCGAACGGGUGAGUAACACGUAGGUUAUCUGCCCAUCAGACGGGGACAACGAUUGGAAACGAUCGCUAAUACCGGAUAGGACGAAAGUUUAAAGGCGCUUCGGCACCACUGAUGGAUGAGCCUGCGGCGCAUUAGCUAGUUGGUAGGGUAAAGGCCUACCAAGGCGACGAUGCGUAGCCGACCUGAGAGGGUGAACGGCCACACUGGGACUGAGACACGGCCCAGACUCCUACGGGAGGCAGCAGUAGGGAAUCUUCGGCAAUGGUCGAAAGCCUGACCGAGCAACGCCGCGUGAAUGAUGAAGGCCUUCGGGUUGUAAAAUUCUGUUAUAAGGGAAGAAUGGCUCUAGUAGGAAAUGGCUAGAGUGUGACGGUACCUUAUGAGAAAGCCACGGCUAACUACGUGCCAGCCGCCGCAGUAA